GAAAUGUUACCACUCUUCUGGCGGUAAUGGGUAUCUCUUCACCCGUCUUGGGAUUGCGACCUGGUCGUUGUUUUUUAUCUCUCAGCUCAAAAUUUCCGAAUCCUGAGAGCUUGACCUGCUCAUUACUCUCCAGCGAGUCGCGAAUUUC
rnacentral:misc_RNA from 1 species